rnacentral:rRNA from 1 species
UUGACCUCAAAUCAGGUGGGACUACCCGCUGAACUUAAGCAUAUCAAUAAGCGGAGGAAAAGAAACUAACAAGGACUCCCUUAGUAACUGCGAGUGAAGUGGGAAGAGCUCAAAUUUGAAAUCUGGCAGUCUCUGGCUGUCCGAGUUGUAAUCUAGAGAAGUGUUGCCCGCGCUGGACCGUGUACAAGUCUCCUGGGAUGGAGCGUCAUAGAGGGUGAGAAUCCCGUCUCUGACAUGGACUACCAGGGCUUUUGUGGUGCGCUCUCAAAGAGUCGAGUUGUUUGGGAAUGCAGCUCAAAAUGGGUGGUAAAUUCCAUCUAAAGCUAAAUAUUGGCGAGAGACCGAUAGUGAACAAGUACCGUGAGGGAAAGAUGAAAAGAAYUUUGGAAAGAGAGUUAAACAGUACGUGAAAUUGCUGAAAGGGAAACGCUUGAAGUCAGUCGCGUUGGCCAGGGAUCAGCCUUGCUUCUUAGUGUGGUGUACUUCCUGGUUGACGGGUCAGCAUCGGUUU